rnacentral:rRNA from 1 species
UACAGAGGUGGCAAGCGUUGUUCGGAAUUACUGGGCGUAAAGGGCGCGUAGGCGGCUCGGCACGUCCGUUGUGAAAUCGCCCGGCUCAACUGGGCGGGGUCAGCGGAUACGGUCGAGCUUGAGCAAGCUAGGGGGCAAUGGAAUUCCCGGUGUAGUGGUGGAAUGCGUAGAUAUCGGGAGGAACACCAGUGGCGAAGGCGGUUGCCUGGGGCUUUGCUGACGCUGAUGCGCGAAAGCGUGGGGAGCGAUCCGG